rnacentral:rRNA from 12 species
CUCGUACUCCCCGAAAUGCUUUUAGGAGCAGCGUGGAGGUUAGUUUAUCAGAGGUAGAGCUACCGAUUGGACUAGGGGGAGUCAAAUCCUACCAAAUCCAGACGAACUCCGAAUGCUGAUAAAUAUACUCCGCAGUGAGGGUUGGGGUGCUAAGGUCCCAAUCCAAGAGGGAAAGAACCCAGACCUACAGCUAAGGUCCCUAAAUUUGUACUAAGUUGAACUAAGGAGGUUCAGUUGCUUAGACAGCCAGGAUGUUGGCUUGGAAGCAGCCAUUCAUUUAAAGAGUGCGUAACAGCUCACUGGUCGAGCGACAGAGCAUCGAUAAUAAUCGGGCAUCAAGUACAAUACCGAAGCUUAGGCAGUAGCAAUACUGGGUAGGGGAGCAUUCUCUAGUCGACGAAGGUGUGGCGCGAGCCAUGCUGGAGAGUAGAGAAGAGCAAAUGUAGGCAUAAGUAACGAUAAGGCAGGCGAGAAACCUGCCCACCGAUAGACUAAGGUUUCCCCGGCAAUGCUAAUCAGCCGGGGGUUAGUCGGGACCUAAGGCGAACCCGAAAGGGGUAGUCGAUGGACAACUAGUUAAUAUUCUAGUACCA